GAUGAACGCUGACAGAAUGCUUAACACAUGCAAGUCUACCAAGAAUCACUUCGGUGAGGAAUGGUGGCGGACGGGUGAGUAACGCGUAAAUAAUCUGCCCUUUAGACUGGGAUAUCCUUUGGAAACGAAGGUUAAUACCGGAUAUUAUGAGAUGAACGCAUGUUCAACUUAUGAAAGCUAAAUGCACUAGAGGAGGAGUUUGCGUCCCAUUAGCUAGUUGGUGAGGUAAAGGCUCACCAAGGCCACGAUGGGUAGCCGGCCUGAGAGGGUGAACGGCCACAAGGGAACUGAGACACGGUCCUUACUCCUACGGGGGGCAGCAGUGGGGAAUAUUGGACAAUGGACCAAAAGUCUGAUCCAGCAAUUCUGUGUGCACGAUGAAGGUCUUCGGAUUGUAAAGUGCUUUCAGUAGGGAAGAAAAAAAUGACGGUACCUACAGAAGAAGCGACGGCUAAAUAUGUGCCAGCCGCCGCUGUAACAC
rnacentral:rRNA from 1 species